GACGAACGCUGGCGGCGUGCUUAACACAUGCAAGUCGAACGGUGACGCGCCUUCCUUUUUGGCGGGUGUGGAUGAGUGGCGAACGGGUGAGUAACACGUGAGUAACCUGCCCCCUCCUUCUGGAUAACCGCAUGAAAGUGUCGCUAAUACGGGAUAUUCUGGGUCUGUCGCAUGAUGGGUUUGUGAAAGAUUUUGUUUCGGUGGGGGCUGGGCUCGCGGCCUAUCAGCUUCGUGGUGGGGUGAUGGCCUACCGACGCGGUGACGGUUAGCCGGCCUGAGAGGGUGGACGCACACGGGGAGACUGAGACGGGGCAGAGACUCCUGCGAGACAGAGGAGUGGAAAAUAGUGCAAUGGCGGAAGACGGAUGAUGCAACACCGCGGCGGGGAAGAAGGAGUUCGGCUUGUUGAGACCUUCUUUUGGGAGAGAAGAAGAGCAGGCUAGUACGUGGGUGGGUUGACGGUACCUAGAGAAGAAGCGCCGGCUAACUACGUG
rnacentral:rRNA from 1 species